AUUGAACGCUGGCGGCAGGCCUAACACAUGCAAGUCGAGCGGUAGAGAGAAGCUUGCUUCUCUUGAGAGCGGCGGACGGGUGAGUAAUGCCUAGGAAUCUGCCUGGUAGUGGGGGAUAACGUUCGGAAACGGACGCUAAUACCGCAUACGUCCUACGGGAGAAAGCAGGGGACCUUCGGGCCUUGCGCUAUCAGAUGAGCCUAGGUCGGAUUAGCUAGUUGGUGGGGUAAUGGCUCACCAAGGCGACGAUCCGUAACUGGUCUGAGAGGAUGAUCAGUAACACUGGAACUGAGACACGGGCCAGACUCCUACGGGAGGCAGCAGUGGGGAAUAUUGGACAAUGGGCGAAAGCCUGAUCCAGCCAUGCCGCGUGUGUGAAGAAGGUCUUCGGAUUGUAAAGCACUUUAAGUUGGGAGGAAGGGCAGUAAAUUAAUACUUUCCUGUUUUGACGUUACCGACAGAAUAAGCACCGGCUAACUCUGUGCCAGCCGCCGCAGUA
rnacentral:rRNA from 1 species